rnacentral:tRNA from 1 species
UCCCUGGUGGCUCAGACGGUAAAGCGUCUGCCUGCAAUGCGGGAGACCCAGGUUCAAUUCUUGGAUCGGGAA